CCUACGGGCGGCAGCAGUGAGGAAUAUUGGUCAAUGGCCGAGAGGCUGAACCAGCCAAGUCGCGUGAGGGAAGAAUGUCCUAUGGAUUGUAAACCUCUUUUGUCAGGGAGCAAAGUCACCCACGCGUGGGGGUUGGAGAGUACCUGAAGAAAAAGCAUCGGCUAACUCCGUGCCAGCAGCCGCGGUAAUACGGAGGAUGCGAGCGUUAUCCGGAUUUAUUGGGUUUAAAGGGUGCGUAGGCGGGAUAUCAAGUCAGCGGUAAAAUCGUGGAGCUCAACCUCAUCCAGCCGUUGAAACUGAUGUUCUUGAGUGGGCGAGAAGUAUGCGGAAUGCGUGGUGUAGCGGUGAAAUGCAUAGAUAUCACGCAGAACUCCGAUUGCGAAGGCAGCAUACCGGCGCCCGACUGACGCUGAAGCACGAAAGCGUGGGUAUCGAACAGGAUUAGAUACCCGUGUAGUC
rnacentral:rRNA from 1 species